UACGUAGGGGGCAAGCGUUGUCCGGAUUUAUUGGGCGUAAAGAGCUCGUAGGCGGUUCCGUAAGUCGAGUGUGAAAAAUCUGGGCUCAACCCAGUGGAGCACUCGAUACUGCGGUGACUAGAGUACGGUAGAGGAGUGUGGAAUUCCUGGUGUAGCGGUGAAAUGCGCAGAUAUCAGGAGGAACACCAAUGGCGAAGGCAGAUCUCUGGGCCGUAACUGACGCUGAGGAGCGAAAGCAUGGGGAGCGAACAGG
rnacentral:rRNA from 1 species